rnacentral:rRNA from 1 species
GAUGAACGCUGGCUACAGGCUUAACACAUGCAAGUCGAGGGGAAACGACGGGGAAGCUUGCUUCCCCGGGCGUCGACCGGCGCACGGGUGAGUAACGCGUAUCCAACCUGCCUCUGACUGAGGGAUAACCCGUCGAAAGUCGGCCUAAUACCGCAUGGCAUCGUCUUCGGGCAUCCAACGACGAUUAAAGAUUUCAUCGGUCAGGGAUGGGGAUGCGUCUGAUUAGCUUGUUGGCGGGGUAACGGCCCACCAAGGCUACGAUCAGUAGGGGUUCUGAGAGGAAGGUCCCCGACAGUGGAACUGACACACGGUGCAAAGUCCUACGGGAGGCAGCAGUGAGGAAGAUUGGUCAAUGGGCGGGAGCCUGAUCCAGCCAAGUAGGGUGCAGGAUGACGGCCCUAUGGGUUGUAAACUGCUUUUAUGCGGGGAUAAAGUGAGGGACGUGUCCUUCAUUGCAGGUACCGCAUGAAUAAGGACCGGCUAAGUCCGUG